rnacentral:rRNA from 1 species
AUUGAACGCUGGCGGAAUGCUUUACACAUGCAAGUCGAACGGCGGCACGGGGGCAGCCCUGGUGGCGAGUGGCGAACGGGUGAGUAAUACAUCGGAACGUGCCCGGUCGUGGGGGAUAACGUAGCGAAAGUUACGCUAAUACCGCAUACGAUCUGAGGAUGAAAGCGGGGGACCUUCGGGCCUCGCGCGAUCGGAGCGGCCGAUGUCAGAUUAGGUAGUUGGUGGGGUAAAGGCCUACCAAGCCGACGAUCUGUAGCUGGUCUGAGAGGACGACCAGCCACACUGGGACUGAGACACGGCCCAGACUCCUACGGGAGGCAGCAGUGGGGAAUUUUGGACAAAGGGCGCAAGCCUGAUCCAGCCAUUCCGCGUGCAGGACGAAGGCCUUCGGGUUGUAAACUGCUUUUGUACGGAACGAAAAGGCUCUGGCUAAUACCUGGGGCUCAUGACGGUACCGUAAGAAUAAGCACCGGCUAACUACGUG